rnacentral:rRNA from 1 species
GAUGAACGCUAGCGGCAGGCCUAAUACAUGCAAGUCGAACGGAUAUAUGUUUUUCGGAAUAUAUAUUAGUGGCGCACGGGUGAGUAACACGUACAUAACUUGCCCUCAAGCGGGGGAUAGCCUUGGGAAACUGAGAGUAAUACCCCAUAGAAUUAUUGGACGGCAUCGUUUGAUAAUUAAAACUACGGUGUUUGGGGAUAGAUGUGCGUCUGAUUAGCUAGUUGGUGAGGUAACUGCUCACCAAGGCGACGAUCAGUAGGGGGCGUGAGAGCGUGGCCCCCCACACGGGUACUGAGACACGGACCCGACUCCUACGGGAGGCAGCAGUAAGGAAUAUUGGUCAAUGGAGGGAACUCUGAACCAGCCAUGCCGCGUGAAGGAUGACGGCCCUCUGGGUUGUAAACUUCUUUUGGAUGGGGCGAAAAAACGGGAUUUAUCCUGGACUGACGGUACCAUCAGAAUAAGCACCGGCUAACUCCGUGCCAGCAGCCGCGGUAAUG